rnacentral:rRNA from 1 species
CGCGGUAAUACGUAGGGUGCGAGCGUUGUCCGGAAUUACUGGGCGUAAAGAGCUCGUAGGUGGUUUGUUGCGUCGUCUGUGAAAUUCCGGGGCUUAACUUCGGGGUGGCAGGCGAUACGGGCAUAACUAGAGUGCUGUAGGGGAGACUGGAAUUCCUGGUGUAGCGGUGGAAUGCGCAGAUAUCAGGAGGAACACCGAUGGCGAAGGCAGGUCUCUGGGCAGUAACUGACGCUGAGGAGCGAAAGCAUGGGGAGCGAACAGGAUUAGAUACCCUGGUAGUCCAUGCUGUAAACGGUGGGCGUUAGGUGUGGGGACCGGUUUGGUUUCUGUGCCGUAGCUAACGCAUUAAGCGCCCCGCCUGGGGAGUACGGCCGCAAGGCUAAAACUCAAAGGAAUUGACGGGGGCCCGCACAAG